UACGGGGGGGGCAAGCGUUGUUCGGAAUUACUGGGCGUAAAGGGCUCGUAGGCGGCCAACUAAGUCCGACGUGAAAGCCCCGGGCUCAACCUGGGAACCGCGCUUGAGACUGGCACACUCGAGUUCGGGAGAGGAUGGUGGAAUUCCCGAGUGUAGAGGUGAAAUUCGUAGAUAUUGGGAAGAACACCGAUGGCGAAGGCAGCCAA
rnacentral:rRNA from 1 species